GAGAGGAGAGGAGAGGAGAGGAGAGGAGAGGAGAGGAGAGGAGAGGAGAGAGAAUGUCUGAGAGAAAUAUCCAUGCAGACACCAAGGUCAGUGAGGAAGGAGGGGGAGAAGGUGUCCCAGGUGGCAGAGCAGAGAUUCCUCUGCAGUCUACAUUGAAGACCAUGGUGAGGCAGCUGUGUCUUUGCAGCCCAUGGAAGUCCACAGUGGAGAAGAGAUUCACCUGCAGCCCCUGGAGCACCUCACACACAGGGAGAAGAGCCCAUUCUGGAGCCAGUUUGUUGGCAGGACAUGUGAUCCUGUGGGGGACCCAUGCUGAAGCAGCCUGUUCCUGAAAGACCCCGUGAAAAGGGGUCCAUGCUGGAGCAGUUUGUGAAGAACUGCAGCCUGUGAGAAGGAAGUUGUAAAAGUUCACUAAGAACUGUCUCACAUGCAAGGGACCCCAUGUUGGAGCUGAGAAGUGUGAGUCCUUCAUCAUCACAGAGAGUCCUUCCUCAUCCCAGAGAUCAGAGUCCUCUCUGGGAUGAGGAAGGAGCACCAGAGACAACGUGUAAUGAAGUGACGAUAACUCCCAUUCCCCACCCCCUGCACUGCUGAUGAAGGAGGAGAAUUGUGACUACAAUUAAGCUUGAGAUAUAAAGGAGGGUUGGGCAUAA